GUUGAGAGCGGUGGCGCACCCCUGUAGUCCCAGCUACUCGGGAGGCUGAGGCAGGAGGAUUGCUUAAGCCCAGGAGUUCUGGGCUGGAGUACGCUAUGCCGAUCCGGUGUCUGCACUAAGUUCGGCAUCAAUAUGGUGACCUCCUGGGAGUGGGGGGGCCACCAGGUUGCCUAAGGAGGGGUGAACCGGCCCAGGUCAGCUCAUCCCAUAACGGGGUAAGGACCAUACUAGACAACCUAAGGCAGGCACGGUCCCUAAGCCACAUGCCUAU
rnacentral:sRNA from 1 species